rnacentral:rRNA from 1 species
UACGGGGGGGGCAAGCGUUGUUCGGAAUUACUGGGCGUAAAGGGCUCGUAGGCGGCCAACUAAGUCAGACGUGAAAUCCCUCGGCUUAACCGGGGAACUGCGUCUGAUACUGGUUGGCUUGAGUUUGGGAGAGGGAUGCGGAAUUCCAGGUGUAGCGGUGAAAUGCGUAGAUAUCUGGAGGAACACCGGUGGCGAAGGCGGCAUCCUGGACCAACACUGACGCUGAGUGAGCGAAAGCCAGGGGAGCAAACGGG